CAUCAGUUGGAGAGAAGGCUUAAGCCGGGUCUGUUGUUGAUGGCUUUGUGUAUCCCUCUAAAGCUACUCAAGCACAGAGAAAAGGGAGACAUGACAGAGAGAGAGAAAGCUCUUCUUCAUAUGUGUGUAGGAGGAGGAGAGGAGGAGGGCCAGGCCCUCCAGAAGAAAGAGGGGAGGCCUGGGGGGAGCUGACAGCCCCAUCCCUCUCUGUCCCCCUCCAUCCAUCCCGCCCCCCAUGACAGCUGCUGGUCGAGCAGAACGCCGCCUGCCAGCAGCAGCCUCUCUGCUCACUAGCUGUCUGCUGACCAUCCUCUGUCGGAGAGACAGGUGUCUUCCCAGUUGUGGCGGUCCUGCCGCUCAGAAGUCUGUCCAGCAGCACUCUGGCUGCCCUGUGGGAGAGUCAGGGCAGGUCCAGGGCUAAAUUUCACUGCUGGGAUCCAGACAAACCGAAAACUGGUUUUCAGUCGUGUGACAAAUGGCCGGCUGGAUGGAGGAGAACUGUCAGUAAGGGUGAGGGAGGCUCAGCGCUGUUGCUGUGGUAAUGAGGAAAUGGGGCUCACAGAGGUAGCCUCUGAAACAGUGGUGAAAUGGUGGCACCAUUGGUGUCACACUUUAAUACGUUUUCUCCAUUGCUGCAUUAACUACAUGUUCUUAGUAGACCAUAUUCAGACACUGCCCUGAAAAUGUACACUACAUAUUUUAAAACAGUUUGUUGUCUGUCAGUAACAUAAAUAUUAACAAUAGCACAAAUAUUUCCACACCCUGGGUGUUGCAACUAGCGCUGGAGUUUGUGUGACAUUACUUCCCAAUCAGUUGAUGCUGUUUACAACCAAAUGAGCCAAAACUGACAGGACAACACCCAGAUGAUUUGUGUAAUAAUUCUCUCUCUGAGAUGGCUUCCUAGACACUGAGCACAUUCCUCAUUUGUGCAAACAAACUGAGAUUGAAAUGAAAU